rnacentral:lncRNA from 1 species
AAUAUCAGGACACCAGGAAGUCAGGUUUAUCUUCAAGGCAUCUUGGAUAAGGUUUCAGGAGCUGAAAAGGGUCUGGAUUUUACCCUACUUGAAAGAUAACAGCUUUUCACAGUUUCAUGGAUGCUGACAGAAGACAGGAUUUCUGGAUCAGAGAAAGGCGGUGCAGUAGUCCCCUCUUAGCUGAGGAAAAUACGUUUCAAGAUGCCCAGUGGUUGCCUGAAAUCACAGAUAGUACCAAACUCUACCUAUGCUAUGUUUUCUCCUAUGCAUACACACCUAUGGUAAAGUUGAAGUUAUAAAUUAGGCACAGUAAGAGAUUAAUAACAAUGACUAAUAAUAAAACACAGCAAUUAUAACAAUAUACUGCAGUAAAAGUUGUGGGAACAUUUUCUCCCGGAAUGUCCAUUUAAUAUUCAUGAACCACAGUUAAUGCCGGUAACUGAAACUGAAAACAAAACUUCAGGUAAGCGGGGAAUACUGUAUUAC